rnacentral:rRNA from 1 species
UACGGGGGGGGCAAGCGUUGUUCGGAAUUACUGGGCGUAAAGGGCUCGUAGGUGGCCAACUAAGUCGGAUGUGAAAUCCCCAGGCUCAACUUGGGAACUGCAUCCGAUACUGGAUGGCUUGAAUUCGGGAGAGGGAUGCAGAAUUCCAGGUGUAGCGGUGAAAUGCGUAGAUAUCUGGAGGAAUACCGGUGGCGAAGGCGGCAUCCUGGACCGACAUUGACGCUGAGGAGCGAAAGCUAGGGGAGCAAACGGG